AGCAGCCGCGGUAAUUCCAGCUCCAAUAGCGUAUAUUAAAGUUGUUGCAGUUAAAAAGCUCGUAGUUGAAUUUCGGGGUUAGUAGGUUGGUCAUGCCCCUGGUGAUGUACUGGUCUCACUGAUUCCUCCUUCCUUAUGAACCGUAAUGCCAUUAAUUUGGUGUUGCGGGAAAUUUGGACUGUUACUUUGAAAAAAUUUAGAGUGUUUAAAGCAAGCUAACGCUUGAAUACAUUAGCAUGGAAUAAUGAAAUAGGACGUUCGAUCUUAUUUUGUUGGUUUCUAGGAUUGACGUAAUGAUUAAUAGGGAUAGUUGGGGGCGAUUAGUAUUCAAUUGUCAGAGGUGAAAUUCUUGGAUUUAUUGAAGACUAACUACUGCGAAAGCAUUUGCCAAGGAUGUUUCAUUAAUCAAGAACGAAAGUUAGGGGAUCGAAGACGAUCAGAUACCGUCGUAGUCUUAACCAUAAACUAUGCCGACUAGGGAUCGGAUGAUGUUAAUUUUUUAAUGACUCAUUCGGCGCCU
rnacentral:rRNA from 1 species